CAGCAGGAGGAGUAACUACAGAAACUGGUGGAGGAAGCUGUGGCGAUGGAUUACUAACCGCAGCAGAUGGCGGUUGUGAUAGAGAGGUAUCCGGUGGCGAUGGUGGUGGCAGAGAGGUUUCCGGUGGAGAUGGUGGUGGCAGAGAGGUUUCCGGUGGCGAUGGUGGUUGCAGAGAGGUUUCCGGUGGUGGCGGUGGAGGUGAUGCGUUGGAAUUAACGGUAGGAUCGGAUGGAUUGGAUGUACUAGGAUUAGGUAAGGAAGGGAAAGGAAGUUGUAACGGUGGCGGAGGAGAGUACUCCGACAGCGAGCAAGACUCGCCGGAGC
rnacentral:lncRNA from 1 species